GGAACUGUUGCUCAGUGGAAAAGCCUUUGCUGUGAAUGCAGAAGGUUCUAGGUUCAAUCCCUGGCAUUUUCA
rnacentral:tRNA from 1 species